rnacentral:rRNA from 1 species
GAGUUUGAUCAUGGCUCAGAUUGAACGCUGGCGGCAGGCCUAACACAUGCAAGUCGAGCGGAAACGAGUUAUCUGAACCUUCGGGGAACGAUAACGGCGUCGAGCGGCGGACGGGUGAGUAAUGCCUAGGAAAUUGCCCUGAUGUGGGGGAUAACCAUUGGAAACGAUGGCUAAUACCGCAUGAUGCCUACGGGCCAAAGAGGGGGACCUUCGGGCCUCUCGCGUCAGGAUAUGCCUAGGUGGGAUUAGCUAGUUGGUGAGGUAAGGGCUCACCAAGGCGACGAUCCCUAGCUGGUCUGAGAGGAUGAUCAGCCACACUGGAACUGAGACACGGUCCAGACUCCUACGGGAGGCAGCAGUGGGGAAUAUUGCACAAUGGGCGCAAGCCUGAUGCAGCCAUGCCGCGUGUGUGAAGAAGGCCUUCGGGUUGUAAAGCACUUUCAGUCGUGAGGAAGGUAGUGUAGUUAAUAGCUGCAUUAUUUGACGUUAGCGACAGAAGAAGCACCGGCUAACUCCGUGCCAGCAGCCGCGGUAAUACGGAGGGUGCGAGCGUUAAUCGGAAUUACUGGGCGUAAAGCGCAUGCAGGUGGUUUGUUAAGUCAGAUGUGAAAGCCCGGGGCUCAACCUCGGAAUAGCAUUUGAAACUGGCAGACUAGAGUACUGUAGAGGGGGGUAGAAUUUCAGGUGUAGCGGUGAAAUGCGUAGAGAUCUGAAGGAAUACCGGUGGCGAAGGCGGCCCCCUGGACAGAUACUGACACUCAGAUGCGAAAGCGUGGGGAGCAAACAGGAUUAGAUACCCUGGUAGUCCACGCCGUAAACGAUGUCUACUUGGAGGUUGUGGCCUUGAGCCGUGGCUUUCGGAGCUAACGCGUUAAGUAGACCGCCUGGGGAGUACGGUCGCAAGAUUAAAACUCAAAUGAAUUGACGGGGGCCCGCACAAGCGGUGGAGCAUGUGGUUUAAUUCGAUGCAACGCGAAGAACCUUACCUACUCUUGACAUCCAGAGAACUUUCCAGAGAUGGAUUGGUGCCUUCGGGAACUCUGAGACAGGUGCUGCAUGGCUGUCGUCAGCUCGUGUUGUGAAAUGUUGGGUUAAGUCCCGCAACGAGCGCAACCCUUAUCCUUGUUUGCCAGCGAGUAAUGUCGGGAACUCCAGGGAGACUGCCGGUGAUAAACCGGAGGAAGGUGGGGACGACGUCAAGUCAUCAUGGCCCUUACGAGUAGGGCUACACACGUGCUACAAUGGCGCAUACAGAGGGCAGCCAACUUGCGAAAGUGAGCGAAUCCCAAAAAGUGCGUCGUAGUCCGGAUUGGAGUCUGCAACUCGACUCCAUGAAGUCGGAAUCGCUAGUAAUCGUGGAUCAGAAUGCCACGGUGAAUACGUUCCCGGGCCUUGUACACACCGCCCGUCACACCAUGGGAGUGGGCUGCAAAAGAAGUAGGUAGUUU